rnacentral:rRNA from 1 species
UAGGUUAACGAGGCGAACCGGGGGAACUGAAACAUCUAAGUACCCCGAGGAAAAGAAAUCAACCGAGAUUCCCCCAGUAGCGGCGAGCGAACGGGGAGCAGCCCGGAGUCUGAAUCAGCUUGUGUGUUAGUGGAAGCGUCUGGAAAGUCGCACGGUACAGGGUGACAGUCCCGUACACGAAAAUGCACAGGUUGUGAACUCGAAGAGUAGGGCGGGACACGUGGUAUCCUGUCUGAAUAUGGGGGGACCAUCCUCCAAGGCUAAAUACUCCUGACUGACCGAUAGUGAACCAGUACCGUGAGGGAAAGGCGAAAAGAACCCCGGCGAGGGGAGUGAAAAAGAACCUGAAACCGUGUACGUACAAGCAGUGGGAGCACCUUCGUGGUGUGACUGCGUACCUUUUGUAUAAUGGGUCAGCGACUUAUAUUCUGUAGCAAGGUUAACCGUAUAGGGGAGCCGCAGGGAAACCGAGUCUUAACUGGGCGUUAAGUUGCAGGGUAUAGACCCGAAACCCGGUGAUCUAGCCAUGGGCAGGUUGAAGGUUGGGUAACACUAACUGGAGGACCGAACCGACUAAUGUUGAAAAAUUAGCGGAUGACCUGUGGCUGGGGGUGAAAGGCCAAUCAAACCGGGAGAUAGCUGGUUCUCCCCGAAAGCUAUUUAGGUAGCGCCUCGUGAACUCAUCUUCGGGGGUAGAGCACUGUUUCGGCUAGGGGGCCAUCCCGGCUUACCAACCCGAUGCAAACUACGAAUACCGAAGAAUGUUAUCACGGGAGACACACGGCGGGUGCUAACGUCCGUCGUGAAGAGGGAAACAACCCAGACCGCCAGCUAAGGUCCCAAAGUCAUGGUUAAGUGGGAAACGAUGUGGGAAGGCACAGACAGCCAGGAUGUUGGCUUAGAAGCAGCCAUCAUUUAAAGAAAGCGUAAUAGCUCACUGGUCGAGUCGGCCUGCGCGGAAGAUGUAACGGGGCUAAACCAUG